AUUAAAAUGAAUGAUGAAAUAUUUUGCUCACCGAUUAUGUAUGAUAAUAGAAUUUUAUUUGGAUGUAAUGAUAAUAAUUUAUAUUGUUUUUCAAUUGGAAAUGGUUGAAAAAUAGGGGCAAAAAGCGUCUGCAUGAAAGCAUAACAAAAAGAACUGAAAACUUCAGAUUUUCAGUAUACUUGGAAUUUCUAUAUUUUAUAAGUAUUUACCCCAAGAGUACAAGAAAUAUAUUCUGCUGGAACCCGAUGUAUUUUGUUUAUAAGCAAUAUACAUUUUUAUUAAACAAAUAGAAAAAUGUCCUAUUCUUUAUUUUGGAAGAAGGCAUUAAAAUAAAAAAUAACCAAUAUAUUUACGAAGCUUUUAUUUUUAUCCCAGAUUCACGACAAUUGUUUUAAAUAUCGGUAAAACCUUAAUACCAUCACCGAGGAGAGACAUGUGCAUAUAGACGCCCUUCAUAAGAAAAAAAAAAUAAGUAAAACUAACUAAAAAU